UUUAAAAUGUAAGUUCCUAGUUGUAUUUUUAAUUUGGACAUGUUAUCAUUUUAAUUUCUAAUUUACACAUUUUAUUUCUAAAUAGUAAAUUUUUAUCAUUUUAAAUCUAAAUUUUAUUUCUUAUCUCUACAUUCCUGUCAUAUGAAUUCUAAUUUAUAUUUUUCUUUCCAAUUUCCAAAUUUCUGUCAUUUUAAGUUUAAAUUUUGUUUCUAUUAUUAUUAGAUUUUUUUUUUUUUCAUCUCUUCAUAAUUUUAAUUCUGACUUUCUGCAAAAUUAUUUUUCAUAGCCUGCAUCUUACAUAGUGUGUCAGUGUCUGACAUGGUGGUGAAAAUGAUCUUUUUAUUUUAGUUAAAUAAAUUCACUGUUUUAAUUCAAUAAUGUUUUUAGUAGGGAUGUCCCGAUCAGGUUUUUUUGCCUCCGAGUCAUUUGAUUUUGAGUAUUUACCGAUACCGAGGACUGAUCCGAUACUUCUAUAAUACAUUAAAAAAGAAUAAAGAAGAGUGAAAAAACAGAUCCAGUUUCCAUACAGCCAUAGCUGGAUGCUUUUGUCCAUAUUAGGAGUUUCCUGGAAUGACUCUCUGUGCGAGAGCGCCCUCUGGCGUCGAGGAUGAAUGAAACACACUGCAGGAGUGUUUAGUGCUCUGUGAUGUUCAUCUUGCCUUAUUCUGGGUCUGAAUAAAACACCAGAUCAUGCGCAGGCUAUCCUGUCUCUUUGAGUUUAAAUCUAUAUUUAUUCACACCUUUAUUAUAUAUAUCCGAGUCCUGAUCGGGAGGUAACGUCCGAUUCUGAUCGAUCCUGAAACCACGUGAUCGGAUCUGGACAUCCCUAUUUUUUAUUUAAUAUUUUUAGGGUAUUUUAUGCUACUAAAUUAUAGUUGUUUAAUAUUUUUAAUCUAUUUAUUACUUAAUAACCACUUUCUUGAGAAGAGACAUUAAACUGUAAUAAAUAUUGAGUGCUUUGGAGCGCUAGAGUUUGGUCUAUUUUUAAAGAAGAAAGUUGGCAGAUUAUUGCUAGAGUGAAACAAAGUACAACAACAAAAAAAGUUAUAGAAGUUUAUGAUGAUGAAAAAUGCACAAAAAUACUAAAAGUUUUAUAUGAAAUAUAUAUUAUACAAAACAUGUUUGAAAACUGUGUGAAAUCAAAGACAUUAAUAUAAACAAGUUGACUUCCGAAUUUGAAGUUGAUAUCACAAAACAUGAGCUUUCAGUAAAACUUUGUUUGGGUGCAGUUACAGACGUUUCCACUAGAGGAAAUACAUUUCUGGUCAAGUUUGGACCAUUCCGAUACAUAAAAACAUACAUUAACAAAAAAAUUCUGAGCUUAAGUCACAUUUGUGGUGUUCAGCUGUAAACCUCAGUGUUGUUCCCUUCACAUAGAGAUUGAUAGGAACAUUACAAAAGCUGUCGUGUUAGCAGACUGACUUCAAUAUAAGCAGUUUUUAGACGUUUUAACGACAAAUUUUGAGUUCUGAAACUUACAGGAUGUUUUUGAAGUACAGUGCAGUUUAAGCACUAUUUGUAAUGCACUUUUCAUGAUACAAAUUGUUGCAAAGCAGCUUUACAGAAAAUGUAAGUUUCUAUUUUAAAGUUGCUACAUUAUUAAACAUUUAGUAGUAGUAUAACGACCUAUUGUAUGUCAAAAAAUCAAGGGAAUUUUGGUUUCUCAGUUCAUGACCCCUUUAAAAAAACACAUCGCAGAUUAUCGCUGGAGUAAAAAAAAAAUAAAACAACAUAAACUAAAAUAGUUAUAAAAUAACGUUUACUUUUAUGAAAAAUGUACAAAAAUACUAUUUUUCAAGUAAAUAUAAUAAAACAUGUUUUACUAUAAAUGUGGAUGAAAAAUUAAUCUGAACAAGUUUUGAAGUUGAUAUUGCAAAACAUGAGCUUUCAGUAAAAUUAGUUUGCGGGCGCUUUACCAAACGUUUCCACUAGAUCAAAUUCACCUUCCAUUAAUUUUUGUACAAGUGUGACACAUUUUUUCAGUAGCUUUUCAUUUCAUGUUCAUGAUUUUAGUAGUAAGUACCAAAACAUUUACUAAGUUCCAAACCAUUCCAAUGAAAUCAGAAUUUCUUAAAAUAAAAAAAACAUCAGGAUUCUCUCUGGAAUCGAUUCUGAGA